rnacentral:rRNA from 1 species
GAUGAACGCUAGCUACAGGCUUAACACAUGCAAGUCGAGGGGCAGCAUGGUCUUAGCUUGCUAAGGCCGAUGGCGACCGGCGCACGGGUGAGUAACACGUAUCCAACCUGCCGUCUACUCUUGGACAGCCUUCUGAAAGGAAGAUUAAUACAAGAUGGCAUCAUGAGUCCGCAUGUUCACAUGAUUAAAGGUAUUCCGGUAGACGAUGGGGAUGCGUUCCAUUAGAUAGUAGGCGGGGUAACGGCCCACCUAGUCUUCGAUGGAUAGGGGUUCUGAGAGGAAGGUCCCCCANAUUGGAACUGAGACACGGUCCAAACUCCUACGGGAGGCAGCAGUGAGGAAUAUUGGUCAAUGGGCGAGAGCCUGAACCAGCCAAGUAGCGUGAAGGAUGAAGGUUCUAUGGAUCGUAAACCUCUUUUAUAAGGGAAUAAAGUGUGGGACGUGUCCCGUUUUGCAAGUAUCCGAAGAAAAAGCAUCGGCUAACUCCGUGCCAG